AGAACUCAAGCAGGGCGG
rnacentral:misc_RNA from 1 species